rnacentral:tRNA from 1 species
UGGGCUAUUAGCUCAGUGGUAGAGCGCGCCCCUGAUAUCUCUGGUUCAAGUCCAGGAUGGCCCAGC